GUCGUCGUCGUCGUCAUCGUCGUCGUCGUCAUUGUCGUUGCUGUCAUCGUUGUUCCCGUCACCGUCAAAGUCUUUAUUAGACGACCAUCGUCGCCUCGGGUUCAAGGAUUCCUCGACUGUUCGCAAUGGCAACGCGUUUAUGACGAAUCCGGCGAACGCGAGAAGCGG